AAUGAACUAAAAAUAAAAUUUAGGUGUUA
rnacentral:sRNA from 1 species